UACAGAGGGGGCCAGCGUUAUUCGGAUUUAUUGGGCGUAAAGAGCGUGUAGGCGGCUUGGUAGGUCCGCUGUGAAAACUCGAGGCUCAACCUCGAGAUGUCGGCGGAAACCACUUGGCUAGAGUCCGGAAGAGGAGAGUGGAAUUCCCGGUGUAGCGGUGAAAUGCGCAGAUAUCGGGAAGAACACCUAUGGCGAAGGCAGCUCUCUGGGACGGUACUGACGCUGAGACGCGAAAGCGUGGGGAGCGAACAGG
rnacentral:rRNA from 1 species